rnacentral:lncRNA from 1 species
UCACCGAGCCUGCCAUAUAAUGUCUAAUUGUAAAAAAUUUGUAAAGAUUUUGAUGAUAGCUCUCAAUAGUGUUUCUUUUUUUUCCCAAACAAUUGCAUUAGGGAGGAACUCAGUCUCUCACUUGUGGGUUUCCUAAAUACUCAAAAUAGCAUUAAAUACAUAUAUGAUAAGUUAAACUACUAACAUAAGAAAUGCAUAAAAUAU